rnacentral:rRNA from 1 species
UACGUAGGGGGCAAGCGUUGUCCGGAAUCAUUGGGCGUAAAGAGCGUGUAGGCGGCCCGGUAAGUCCGCUGUGAAAGUCGGGGGCUCAACCCUCGAAUGCCGGUGGAUACUGUCGGGCUAGAGUGUGGAAGAGGCGAGUGGAAUUCCUGGUGUAGCGGUGAAAUGCGCAGAUAUCAGGAGGAACACCGAUUGCGAAGGCAGCUCGCUGGGACGUAACUGACGCUGAGACGCGAAAGCGUGGGGAGCAAACAGG